rnacentral:pre_miRNA from 1 species
AGUGGGAUAACUGGGUUAAAUGGUAUUUCCAUUCCAAGUUUUCCGAAGAAUCACCAGACUGGUUUCCAUAGUGGUUGAACCAAUUUAUAGUCCCAUCAGCAAU